rnacentral:rRNA from 1 species
GGUGAAUAACACGUGAGCAACCUGCCCCUGACUCUGGGAUAAGCCGGGGAAACCAGGUCUAAUACCGGACACCACCUCCUCGCUCCUGCGAUGGGGGUGGAAAGAUUCAUCGGUCGGGGAUGGGCUCGCGGCCUAUCAGCUUGUUGGUGGGGUAACGGCCUACCAGGGCGACGACGGGUAACCGGCCUGAGAGGGCGACCGGUCACACUGGGACUGACACACGGCCCACACUCCUACGGGAGGCAGCAGUGGGGAAUAUUGCGCAGUGGGCGGAAGCCUGACGCACCGACCCCGCGUGGGGGAUGACGGCCUUCGGGUUGUAAACCCCUUUCAGCAGGGACGAAGCCAACGUGACGGUACCUGCAGAAAAAGCGCCGGCUAACUACGUGCCAGCACCCGCGGUAAUACGUAGGGCGCAAGCGUUGUCCAGAAUUAUUGGG